rnacentral:rRNA from 1 species
AGUGAACGCUGGCGGUAGGCCUAACACAUGCAAGUCGAACGGCAGCACAGUAAGAGCUUGCUCUUACGGGUGGCGAGUGGCGGACGGGUGAGGAAUACAUCGGAAUCUACUUUUUCGUGGGGGAUAACGUAGGGAAACUUACGCUAAUACCGCAUACGACCUACGGGUGAAAGCAGGGGAUCUUCGGACCUUGCGCGAUUGAAUGAGCCGAUGUCGGAUUAGCUAGUUGGCGGGGUAAAGGCCCACCAAGGCGACGAUCCGUAGCUGGUCUGAGAGGAUGAUCAGCCACACUGGAACUGAGACACGGCCCAGAGUCCUACGGGAGGCAGCAGUGGGGAAUAUUGGACAAUGGGCGCAAGCCUGAUCCAGCCAUACCGCGUGGGUGAAGAAGGCCUGCGGGUUGUAAAGCCCUUUUGUUGGGAAAGAAAAGCAGCAGGUUAAUACCCCGCUGUUCGGACGGUCCCAAAGAAUAAGCACCGGCUAACUUCGUG